UCAGAGAAAGAAUGCUUGCAGUUGAUUAAUCUUGCAAAACCUCACAUGAGGAGAUCAAAAUUUAUAUGAUACCACACUUCGCAAGAAUGUAACGACAAGGUCUAGAUUUUUGUGUCACUUGGUUAGACUAAUGCGUAGGACUCGUGUGAUCCUUGCACAAGGGCGGCCACCACCAAGUCAGGACUUUGUAGGGGCAAAUGACAGGUCAUGAGGUGCAAAAUGAAAAAUGAUCAAUACAAAUGCAGGUCGGAUAUUGAAUAUUGAAGAAGGGGGCGAGACGGUGUUCCCGGCUGCGAACCAAUGCGUCAGCUCUGUGCCAUGGUGGAAGAAAUUGCCUACACAUGGUAAAGAUGGACUCUCUAUAAAACCAAAGAUGGGAGAUGCAUUAUUUUUCUGGAGCAUGAAACCUGAUGGUACAUUGGAUUAUACGAGUUUGCAUGGUUCCUACCCCGUUAUAAGAGGGGACGAAUGGGCAUGUGUAAAGCUCAUGGAUGAUUAGAACACAAAACUUAACUGAGGGUAAUCGAACCACAAGUAUUAGUGGAGAAGAUGAGAAGAGACUCACAUUUUUUUUUUUAGAUAUAUGAUCGAGAAUCAGUUUUGUUGAUUAGUUACUCUAUAUCGAGAUAUAUAUAGGAUCAAUUUUGAUUUAUUUUUGAAUCUUUUUAUAUAUUGAUCCAUUUCUGUUUGGUUAUGGAUAAACAUGGUUUCGAUAAUUUGACAAAAAAAGUUUAUGAUAAAACCUUUGUAUUUAUGGACA